UAGGGAAUCUUCGGCAAUGGGGGGAACCCUGACCGAGCAACGCCGCGUGAGUGAAGAAGGUUUUCGGAUCGUAAAGCUCUGUUGUUAAGGAAGAACGAGUGUGAGAAUGGAAAGUUCAUACUGUGACGGUACUUAACCAGAAAGGGACGGCUAACUACGUGCCAGCAGCCGCGGUAAUACGUAGGUCCCGAGCGUUGUCCGGAUUUAUUGGGCGUAAAGCGAGCGCAGGCGGUUAGAUAAGUCUGAAGUUAAAGGCAGUGGUUCAACCAUUGUAGGCUUUGGAAACUGUUUAACUUGAGUGCAGAAGGGGAGAGUGGAAUUCCAUGUGUAGCGGUGAAAUGCGUAGAUAUAUGGAGGAACACCGGUGGCGAAAGCGGCUCUCUGGUCUGUAACUGACGCUGAGGCUCGAAAGCGUGGGGAGCGAACAGG
rnacentral:rRNA from 1 species